UUUAAUAGCUCCACUGUUAGGGACAUAGGGAGUUGGUCCAUCUGUGAUAGCAAUAGUUUGGCGUUGGAUCUCAAUCCUGUGAGUGGGCAUGAAGUGAAAAUUGUGAACUUCAUCAUGUGCGUUGCUUGAACUAGAUCCAUUCCCUCGGUUGGGAACCAGUUUCCCCUAUCAAUGAAAACAAUAGGGCAAAACUUCGGCAAUCUAAACAACAACAUUGAACUAGCACAUCAUUCAAUAGCAAAUGAUAAACAAUAUCCAUUAGAAGUACUUACAUAUCUUCUUACUUCCUCCGAUGUGUGUCUGCCCAUAUCAA
rnacentral:lncRNA from 1 species